rnacentral:miRNA from 1 species
AAAACGGUGACUACUUUUGCA